GAUGAACGCUAGCGGCAGGCCUAACACAUGCAAGUCGAACGGUAACAUGAGAGCUUGCUCUUGAUGACGAGUGGCGCACGGGUGCGUAACGCGUAUGCAACCUACCCUAUACAGGGGGAUAGCCCGGAGAAAUUCGGAUUAAUACCCCAUAAUAUUUUCGAUUCACCUGGAUUGAUUAUUAAAGCUUCGGCGGUAUAGGAUGGGCAUGCGUCCCAUUAGCUAGUUGGUGAGGUAAUGGCUCACCAAGGCUACGAUGGGUAGGGGUUCUGAGAGGAUUAUCCCCCACACUGGUACUGAGACACGGACCAGACUCCUACGGGAGGCAGCAGUGAGGAAUAUUGGGCAAUGGACGAGAGUCUGACCCAGCCAUGCCGCGUGCAGGAUGACGGCCCUAUGGGUUGUAAACUGCUUUUAUACAGGAAUAAACCUAUCUACGUGUAGAUAGCUGAAUGUACUGUACGAAUAAGGAUCGGCUAACUCCGUGCCAGCCGCCGCCGUAACAC
rnacentral:rRNA from 1 species